AGAAAAGCAGGGGAUCGCAAGACCUUGCGCUUUUGGAGCGGCCGAUGUCUGAUUAGCUAGUUGGUGAGGUAAAGGCUUACCAAGGCGUCGAUCAGUAGCUGGUCUGAGAGGACGACCAGCCACACUGGGACUGAGACACGGCCCAGACUCCUACGGGAGGCAGCAGUGGGGAAUUUUGGACAAUGGGGGAAACCCUGAUCCAGCCAUGCCGCGUGAGUGAAGAAGGCCUUCGGGUUGUAAAGCUCUUUCAGCCGGAACGAAACGGUCACAGCUAAUACCUGUGACUACUGACGGUACCGGAAGAAGAAGCACCGGCUAACUACGUGCCAGCAGCCGCGGUAAUACGUAGGGUGCGAGCGUUAAUCGGAAUUACUGGGCGUAAAGCGUGCGCAGGCGGUUUUGUAAGUCAGAUGUGAAAUCCCCGGGCUUAACCAUGGGAACUGCGUUUGAAACUACAAGGCU
rnacentral:rRNA from 1 species